CAAUGUUUAGUUCAUUAUAUUUCAUUCAGUCGGGGAACAAACAUCUAAAUUUCCAGUGUUAUUUUUCAGAUUAUUUUCAAAAACAUUGAAAAACAAAAACAAAAAUAUACAAAGUUCAAAAGAUUAAACUUUUAAAACACUUCUGAAGUGCUGCAGCCCCUUGCGAACGUUGUGUUACCUCGAUGAUCCCCCAGUUUUAGGGACCUCAAAUAUACAUAAUAUAUAUACAUAUAUACUCUAACAUCUUGUUACAAAUGGAUGCGUUAUUAAUCGACGUAAUUUGUUACAAAUACUUGUUGAUACUACUCCUACGGUGUGCCUUAAGGCGAUUUUAAGACGGAUAUCAUUGCACUUUAUGUUUACACAGCCAAGAGGAAAAAUGGAGACUCGAAGAAAAAGAAUACCAGAACCUAGACACAUUCCUACUCCUGCUGUUUAAUUACCCAUUACCCAUUAUCCAUCAAACCUUAUUUCAUACAUUGGCAAUUGGCCUUGCAUAGAAGGCUAAACGAUUUACACAUCGCAAUUACUACUUACCAAUACCAAUACAUAAGGGGACCAGGAGAUGUUAGAACUUACCAGAGCAUUAUAACUGGACCACAAUAAGGAGAAGAAUCAUUAUUUCGAACGUUUUACAUCGGUCUAUUCUGUUGGACUUCCGCAUGUGGCUUAUAACUUAUGUUUCUUCUUUAAUGUUACAAUAAUUUGAUUGUUUGUACGGUCAAUACAAAAUGUGCAACAAUUUA